rnacentral:rRNA from 1 species
ACGCGUGGAACCUUACCAGGUCUUGACAUCCUCUGACACUCCUAGAGAUAGGACGUUCCCCUUCGGGGGACAGAGUGACAGGUGGUGCAUGGUUGUCGUCAGCUCGUGUCGUGAGAUGUUGGGUUAAGUCCCGCAACGAGCGCAACCCUUGAUCUUAGUUGCCAGCAUUAAGUUGGGCACUCUAAGGAGACUGCCGGUGACAAACCGGAGGAAGGUGGGGAUGACGUCAAAUCAUCAUGCCCCUUAUGACCUGGGCUACACACGUGCUACAAUGGACGGUACAAACGGUUGCCAACCCGCGAGGGGGAGCUAAUCCGAUAAAACCGUUCUCAGUUCGGAUUGUAGGCUGCAACUCGCCUACAUGAAGCCGGAAUCGCUAGUAAUCGCGGAUCAGCAUGCCGCGGUGAAUACGUUCCCGGGCCUUGCACUCACUGCCCGU